UUGUGGAUGGUGGGAAGCUGUAGAUGUGAUUUAUCUCAACUUUAGGAAGGCUUGACUUUCUCACAAACCAACUAGGGAAACAUAGCCUACAUGAACCUACUAUAAGCCAGAGGCCCAUGGAGUGUCAUUUUAUAAUACACUGAGUUGCCAAAGCAGUGUGCCCACCUAAUCCAACUGCUAUAAACACAGAGCAUGAGCCACUAAAUGGCUGUCUGUGCUGUGAAUUAUGGAUAAAGCCGACCUCUGAGUAGGACAUAAUUUCCUGUGUGUGUGCCUAACAAAGGAAAAACAACCCACACCUGCAGUCAAAAGAUUUCCUGAUUGCUCAGAUGACUGGAAGAAGCAAGUGCUGUGUGCGGUUUGAAUAAAUGAUCACAGGAAGACAGGACAAAGUUGUAAAUUAGUCUGGAAGGAGAAUGGAUUUGCCUCAGAUGACAACUCUUCAUUCCCAUUCCUGGAUGGAGAAGAGUGUUACCUGCAAAAGAGAGAAUGAUGUGAAGAAAGGUAGAGUGGGGGAGUUCCUGUAGUGUCUGUGUUGACUAAGCUCCUGCAGGAUUCUGGGCACCUCCUGAGAGGGAUGGAGUGGUCUCAACUUCCACCAAGGUCUGUAGCAGAUGAGGGCAUUCAGUACCUUCCAGGAUUGAAUCCUAAGUGAAAAGAACCAAACAGAUGGAAAGUUGGUUAUGUUCUGCUUUCUCUUAUAAUUACUCAGUGUAACAAGUUGCUAGGAUCCUUAUGACCAUUUAAUAUUUGAA